UAAUACAGAGGUCCCAAGCGUUGUUCGGAUUCACUGGGCGUAAAGGGUGCGUAGGUGGUGAGGUAAGUCUAAUGUGAAAUCUCCGAGCUUAACUCGGAAACUGCAUCGGAUACUAUCUCGCUCGAGGGUUGGAGGGGAGACUGGAAUACUUGGUGUAGCAGUGAAAUGCGUAGAUAUCAAGUGGAACACCAGUGGCGAAGGCGAGUCUCUGGACAACUCCUGACACUGAGGCACGAAAGCUAGGGGAGCAAACAGGAUUAGAUACCCUGGUAGUCCUAGCCGUAAACGGUGCACGUUUGCUGUAAGAGGAAUCGACCCCUCUUGUGGCGAAGCUAACGCGAUAAACGUGCCGCCUGGGAAGUACGGUCGCAAGAUUA
rnacentral:rRNA from 1 species